UCAGACGAUGCGUCAUGCAUAUCAAUAAGCGGAGGAAAAGAAACUAACAAGGAUUCCCUUAGUAACGGCGAGUGAAGCGGGAAGAGCUCAAAUUUGAAAUCUUCAAGGUUUUACCUUGACGAAUUGUAGUUUAAAGAAGUGUUUUCUGUUGAAGUUUUGGUAAAAGUUCUUUGGAAUAGGACAUCAUAGAGGGUGAGAAUCCCGUAUUUGACCAUUAUUUUCAGCUGUGUGAUACACUUUCAAAGAGUCGGAUUGUUUGGGAAUGCAGUCCAAAAUGGGUGGUAAAUUUCAUCUAAAGCUAAAUACUGGCGAGAGACCGAUAGCGAACAAGUACCGUGAGGGAAAGAUGAAAAGAACUUUGAAAAGAGAGUUAAACAGUACGUGAAAUUGUCAAAAGGGAAGCGUUUGACACCAGUGUUGUUUUCUCGAAAAUCAAUUAAAAAUGAGUUAGAUUUUGUAUGUGUAUUGACCUUAACAGCUUCACUGUACAUUUUCGUGUCUUUUUUAAUGCACUUUUCGUUUAACAAGUCAACAUCAGUUUCUUUUGUUGUAAAAGGGUCAUUGGAAGGUGGCUUUCUUUUCGGAGAAAGUGUUUAUAGCCUUUGACUCCUGCAAUCGAAGAGACUGAGGUCUGCAGCGUAGACUCUUCGGGGUUAGAUACAUUUGUGCUAAGUUAUAGCUUUUUAUAGACAACUUGUUGACUAUGAUUAGUCUUGUAGCUUACUCGCUUAUGCUAUUUUACCUACGCUUAGGAUGUUGAGUCGUAGAGCACGCAG
rnacentral:rRNA from 1 species